AGAUCUUCUUCCGCUCUGAGGCGCUACUGAGGCCGCGGAGCCGGACUGCGGUUGGGGCGGGAAGAGCCGGGGCCGUGGCUGAGAUAGAGCAGCCCUGCUGCUGAGGCCCCGCCCUCCCCACCCUGAGGUGGGGGCCCACCAGGAUGAGCAAGCUGCCUAGGGAGCUGACCCGAGACUUGGAGCGCAGCCUGCCUGCCGUGGCCUCCCUGGGCUCCUCACUGUCCCACAGCCAGAGCCUCUCCUCGCACCUCCUUCCGCCGCCUGAGAAGCGAAGGGCCAUCUCUGAUGUCCGCCGCACCUUCUGUCUCUUCGUCACCUUCGACCUGCUCUUCAUCUCCCUGCUCUGGAUCAUCGAACUGAAUGUUCCUCCAUCCCCUACCUCUUGCCCCUUCCGGGAGGUGAGGGGCAGCCCCAGGCCCUUGCUUCUACCUGCAGAGCUCUUCCUGUCUCCCUCUCACAGACCAACACAGGCAUCCGUAAGAACUUGGAGCAGGAGAUCAUCCAGUACAACUUUAAAACUUCCUUCUUCGACAUCUUCGUCCUGGCCUUCUUCCGCUUCUCU
rnacentral:sRNA from 1 species